UACGUAGGGGGCAAGCGUUGUCCGGAAUUAUUGGGCGUAAAGCGCGUGUAGGCGGUUCGAUAAGUCUGCUGUGAAGUCAAGAGCUCAACUCUUGAAUGCCGGUGGAUACUGUCGGGCUAGAGUACGGAAGAGGCGAGUGGAAUUCCUGGUGUAGCGGUGAAAUGCGCAGAUAUCAGGAAGAACACCAAUGGCGAAAGCAGCUCUCUGGGACGGUACUGACGCUGAGACGCGAAAGCGUGGGGAGCGAACAGG
rnacentral:rRNA from 1 species